GAACAUGUUGGCUUGUUGCUUAUAUUUGGAAAGACACUCGUGUAACAGUUUUGAACCUCAUGUAUUUGAAUACUAAAGUUUUUAGUUUAGUUCUCUAGGUAAGCUGGACAACAUGGAGCUGGAUGUGCUGUUUUCUCCCUUAAGGACUGAUGUUUACUUGUUGGCUUUGCUGUCCACGUUGAUGCAGCUCAUGUCCAAUAAUUCUAAGGCCUUCUAACCUUGUUUGACUAUAAAUGUUAAAUUUUUUUUUUUUUUUUUUUUUUUUUUUUUUUUUUUUUUAAAUAUAAAUUGUUUCAGGCAGGUACAGACGAGGCCAUAGAUGUUCUCCAGGAGCUGCCCAGAUGAAGAGUUGCUUUUUGAACUGAAGACUAACCUGUGUCCCUUACAAUAUUUACGAAGUCAUGCAUAUUGUAUUAUGUAUCACCGUUUCCUUUAUUGUAAAACUCAGCCCAGCUGUACUUGAUUGAACAAAGUUCCAUUCAUGCCUUGGAUUAUUCCUGAUGUAGGCAAUCGUGUAGAUCCCCCUCCUAUUGACAGCUAUCUGGCAAUUCCAGAGUCCUAAUGCUGGUGUUAUUCCAGAUGUUGCCCCGCUAUACAUGUCUUGAGUUUGACUGACCAGGACUUGACCAGAGGACUCAAAGAGCAGGUUUUGCUACUUGUAAGCUGGGCAGCUUCUUGGAGUUGGAUGUGCUGCUGUCCUGUAGCUUGAUAGCAGCUCACUUUUGAUGCAUUUCCCCCCCCCCUCCCCGAUAGUCCUUGUUAUGGACAACUUCAGCACUCAUCUAGACGUGUUCCCCAACAGUCUCUGAGUAACCAAUUUUACCUCUAUUACUUGAAGCCUGUUGAACAAUAUCAGAAGCAUCUUUUAUGGUCCAGUGGACUCUUAAUCCAAGAAUUCCUUGGGGGCACAAUUAUCCACAAGAACAAUGUCUUCAGGUACUAAAUUUAACUUCCGAUUUCUGCCACUUUUGCCAUUCUUUCAGUAGCUGGAUGCAUUUCUUAGUCCAUGUAGACCAGGAGAGAUUGGUCAUGUUGAAUUUGCUUCCAUCUUCUACUUUAAUAACAGUCCUCUUUCUGAAAAACUCCUGGUGGCAUGAUUUCAUCAGCAGAGGGUUUGUAAUCAGAGGCUCAAAGUCAUGGUUUAGCAAUUGGUGGUAGUUUAAUGACUUCAUCACAAUUGUGUGAAGUGUUUAAUCAUCUAAUACCUGUUAAUUCAACACCUAAUUGAGAACUUUCUAAACUGCAUUUGUCCUUCCCAUGUUCCACGUUGAGAUGCUGGAGUAUUUCAAAAUCCACUUUGUCCAAAAUCCAGUUUACAAUUUCUCUCUUCAAACGGUGUACAAAGAAUCUCCAUCUUUCUGCCUCUAAAGUUAAAAAAAAGCGCAAGAUAAAGGUAUGUUAAAAAUUAAUGUAAACUAAAGGCUAUUUUGUGAGGCAACAAUGUAGCCUAGGUAACAUGUUUUAUUGAAAAAUCCAUAACCUUCACAUCUUAAUGUUGUGGUGCAAAUUUCUGUAAUACAAAUAAGCUUCUCUACCAUAAACUUGGCACUAAUGACUUGUAUACAUCAGCUUUAUAGUCUUUGCUAUUAUGUUCCAAUAUCACGUUGCCUGAAUUAGCUAUAGAUUAAGAGUUGUUUUGUGUACAGAUGGGUAGCUGCGGUUUAAUUUUGUUAACGUAACCUUCUGUUCCAAAAACUACUCAUUAAAAUUCACUAAGAGCACUGAAAUAUUUUGGAUGUGGAGCACAGCUACUGCCACCAGCCCAAGUGCCAGUGCUACAGUUGCUGAUACAGCAGGUAAGUUUAACAAUUCCAGAUUCACUUAUAAGGAUAAUCUAUGCCUUUUGUGAGAGCUUUGGUUUUUUUGAAAUUAUGAAGUGUCGUCUGCCGCUGAUCUGAAGAAUCACACUCAGUCUUGGGGUUUUGUUACUAGAAGAUAGACUUUAUUUCAAAUUUUAUCAAUAUCAGG